rnacentral:rRNA from 1 species
UACAGAGGGUGCAAGCGUUGUUCGGAAUUAUUGGGCGUAAAGGGCGCGUAGGCGGUUCGGCAAGUCUCUAGUGAAAUCUCUGGGCUCAACUCAGAGUCUGCUGGGGAAACUGCCGGGCUUGAGUGUGGGAGAGGAGAGUGGAAUUCCCGGUGUAGCGGUGAAAUGCGUAGAUAGUCGGGAGGAACACCUGUGGCGAAAGCGGCUCUCUGGACCACAACUGGACGCUGAGG